AUGGCUGUCGUCAGCUCGUGUCGUGAGAUGUUGGGUUAAGUCCCGCAACGAGCGCAACCCUCACUUUUAGUUGCCAUCAUUAAGUUGGGCACUCUGAAAGAACUGCCAGUGAUAAGCUGGAGGAAGGUGGGGAUGACGUCAAGUCCUCAUGGCCCUUAUGGCCAGGGCUUCACACGUAAUACAAUGGUCGGUACAGAGGGACGCCAACCCGCGAGGGGGAGCUAAUCUCAGAAAGCCGAUCGUAGUCCGGAUUGAAGUCUGCAACUCGACUUCAUGAAGCUGGAGUCGCUAGUAAUCCCAGAUCAGCAUUGCUGGGGUGAAUACGUUCCCGGGCCUUGUACACACCGCCCGUCACACCACGAAAGUUGGCAACACCCGAAGCCAGUGGCCCAACCCCUUGGGGAGGGAGCUGUCGAAGGUGGGGUUAGCGAUUGGGGUGAAGUCGUAACAAGGUAGCCGUACCGGAAGGUGCGGCUGGAUCACCUCCUUUCUAAGGAGUCACCUCCGACCAUAAGUUCAUAAUGAUCUUAUUUGUCAGAUGGAGAUUCUCAGUUGGAGCACUGGUGUGCCAUCGUCAGAUUAAUUAGAGGGUUUGUAGAUACCUCUGUCAUCACUUGUGGUGAUGGUCGGAUACUCGCCAUCUGAUGUCUGGUUGUUGGCUCGUUCUCUGUUCUGCUGCCAAGGAGCGCUGUGCGUUUCUUCGUGGUUCUUUUGAGCCAUGGAGAGAUGCGUACUCCUUCGGGCGUUAUGCCUAUUUUUGAGCCCUUUGGGCCUUGAAAAUGUGGACUGCACCUUGAGAACUGCAUAGCGAUGCACGAGCAUCUAAAUGCCUGCCAACGACAUUACGUUGUCGGUAGGCGAAAUGCCUGUCAGUGACUUAUGUCGUUGAUGGGCGAGCGGUCACUCAAUGUCGACGUUUCUCUGUAUCUCUUGCCGAGUCGAGAGAAGCGUAGUGUGAUCGUGUUAAUUUGUUUUUUCGAAUCUGAAUAUUGAAUACCCAAGCUACUAAGAGCCAAUGGUGAAUGCCUUGGCGCCGAACACCGAUGAAGGACGUGACUGGCUGCGAAAAGCCACGGGGAGCCGCCUAGUAGGCUUUGAUCCGUGGAUGUCCGAAUGGGGAAACCCGG
rnacentral:sRNA from 1 species